rnacentral:misc_RNA from 1 species
GGUCAUUGUUAUUAAGAUUUGUUUAAAUUUUUGUUAUAAAAUAAGAGUCAGGAUUAAGAGAGAGAGGGAGAGAGAAGGGGAAAGGGGGCCUCUAAUAGAUUUAGUUCCCAAAGCCAAUACCAAAGCUUCCUCUGAUUUGCAGGGAGAAUCCAAAGGACGACUAAUAGAGAGAGAAAGGUAUAGAACAAGGAACGCGAAGAACAGAAAGAGAGAGAGAGAGAAAGAGAGAGAG